rnacentral:lncRNA from 1 species
GCCAUUGGAUCAGGUGGAUUCAAUCUUUCCUAAUCAUACACCAAGAGUUACCAUAUAUGGACCCGAUUGCAUUCAAAGCCCAACCCCAACGUCUAUCUUCUGAUUUGGUGCGACUUAAGGGAGUUAUUAGAAGAUUAAUAAGCCAUGGAAUCAUCCAGAAGCUGUCAAGAUACAAGAGCCCACGAAUUACUCCUUUUGGCCUAAGCAUUCAAAGCCUAACGGCUAUAUUCUUUCAAGGCACAUCUCCACUUGAUUUCUUUGAUUUAUUUCGUGUAUUGCUUUCCUAUUUUGAGUCAUUAGACUGUUGUACCAAUCCUAGAGUCGAGCCUAUAUAAGCUCAAGUCAUUUCUUUGUAAAAACACCCUUAAUCGAGAUUUUAAAGUUCAUAAGAAACAUUGUUUUCUUUUCUUCCACAAAGUUGCGAAUUCUUUGUGUUUCCUUUCAUUAGUUCUUAUUUGAGUGAGUCAAUUAAGUUUUUUUGAGUCUGCAAAUCAAGUUGUUUGAGUGAUUCAAACUUCUGGUUUGUUCAUUGAUUGAGUGAGUCAAUCGCAUCUAUCCAUCGUUCCAUCCCUUGAUUCACGAGAGAGUGCGUUAUAGCCAGCUCGUGAAUUCCACCUUCCGCAAGUUAAGCUUGGAAUCUCUUGAUCAUUGAGUGAUCAUAAGUUGGAUUGGUUCCAAUCUUAUAUCAUUUGGUAUCAGAGCUCAAAGCUCCUAUCAACCCAGGUGAAUUUGUUUCACUUAAUCUUUUUUAAUUUUCAGUUUUAUUAUUUGUUUCUUAUAAAUCAAAAAUCAAAAAUCAAAUAAAAAUUUGUUUCUUGCUUUGUUCUUGUUUAUUUUCUUCAGUACCAUAUUAAAAACCAAAAAAAAUAAAAAGUUGUUUUAAUUUUAUUUGUUUCAUAAAAGAAAAACCAUAAAAAGUUCCAUUAUUUUCAGUAAUUUGUGUUAUUUCCAUUUCAAUCAUUCAAAUCCAAUAAAAAAAAAUAAAAUUUAUAUUUUGUUAAGUUUCGUAAUUUUAAUUUAGGAAAACCAUAAAAGAAAAUAAAAAUUGAUUUUUAUUGCUUGUUAUAUAUUUUUCAAUUUAUCUAGUCUUUAAAAAAAAAAAAAAAAAAAAAGAGAAGAUUUCCAUUUUACUUUGUUGUUUUAAUUCUUCUUUCCAUAUUUUCUGAUUUGAGAAUUGAUACACUUCCUUCUUUUUUUUGUUUUGCGAGAUCUUCCAUCAAGAGAAAACAGACGAAACGCCAUGGAAGAUUAUUCAGAAGAAGAAGAAGGACUUUAUGAGUCCAGCCCCUAUGAAUCAGAGUAUGAUGAGCCAAGCCAAAGUUGGCUUGAUGAAGAGGCUUCCUACGAAGCACACCAUGGCCUGAAUACAACUACUCUAAUUCAGAUUGUGGAGAGGAACCAAAUGGGGCUGAUGUCGAGCCAGAGCCACCAGACCCUAAGUCUUCAACCCAACGCCACACAAAACCAUGUUUUAGAGCAGAUUCAGAACGUGAAGAGAAAGACUAUGUACCCCAAUACUUAAUCUUUUCAGGUUAUAACCAAAGUACAGAAGAUUACCUAAGGUGGGAAGAGAUCAUGGAGGAAAAUUUUCAGUCUUGUCAAGUGCCUAUGGGGGAGCAGCUCUCAUAUGCUCUUGAUGCACUCACUGGACCAGCUUAUGAGUGGUGGGAGCAAGAGGAGAAUACCCGAGUCAACUAUAAUGAGCCAGCUCAUACAUGGGAAAGUUUCAAGUUAGAAAUAUAUGGAGAGUUUGUGAAGAAAGCUACAGCUAAAGAUCUUAGCUCGAGCAGUCCCACUCGACCUCAAGUCGAGCUAGCUGGUCGAGCAGUCUCCACUCGAUCUCCGAUCGAGUCUGGUUGUAGAGCUAAACACGAAAAAGGCGUGAUCCUAUCCUACUUUCUCAAAGAAGAGCCACCGGACGAGCCACACAUCCUUACACAACCACAAUGCCAAGGUAAGAUUCUACACCCUCAUAUACUUCCAUGGACUAACUUGACUUAUCUAUGUGUAGGAGAUCAAGUUUUGAGGACAAAACUUCUUGAAGAGGGAGGGUAUGAUGCUGUCAUCAACCCAAGAACCAACCAUGGAGAAGAUUAUGGGCGAGAAAAAACAACCCAGGAGCAGCCAAGUGGGAUUUUAAACAAAGUUUUAUCUACAACUUCGGGCCAAAGCAGAUUCAGCCUAUCCAAGAAGACCCCUGAGCCUUGUUCAGUCCAGACGAAGGCAAAGAUCAAUUCCUCCUGCCCAGAGAUCACUUGGAAUACAUUCUCAGCUCAAUUACCGAGCACCUCGAAGAAGAAUCAGCCCAAAAGAAGUUCACACGAACGAGUUAUUCAAUUUACAAGUCGGGUGAUUCCCAGCUUGCCCGAUUUGGACAUACACAGAGUCAUUGGAGGAUUCCGACCAGAGAAGAAGGAUUUAAGCUACGAAGUGAAUUUUCCUACAUUCUUGACUCAUCAGAGGAGCUCGUCGAAUUGGAAUCAAGUCAAAAACAAUUUUGGUUUAGAAGAUAUUAAUUUUCUAAACCAGAUGAUUCUCAGCUUGCCUUAUUUGGAAGCUGACCGGUUUAGUUACUUGCAAACCAGACUUUGGCGUCCAGGAGAGUCUCUAAUGCUACAAGAGUAUCUUAAGAACAUCUCAAGCUUCAUUUCCAGCCAUUGGAUCAGGUGGAUUCAAUCUUUCCUAAUCAUACACCAAGAGUUACCAUAUAUGGACCCGAGAGCAUUCAAAGCCCAACCCCAACGUCUAUCUUCUGAUUUGGUGCCACUUAAGGGAGUUAUUAGAAGAUUAAUAAGCCAUGGAAUCAUCCAGAAGCUGUCAAGAUACAAGAGCCCACGAAUUACUCCUUUUGGCCUAAGCAUUCAAAGCCUAACGGCUAUAUUCUUUCAAGGCACAUCUCCACUUGAUUUCUUUGAUUUAUUUCGUGUAUUGCUUUCCUAUUUUGAGUCAUUAGACUGUUGUACCAAUCCUAGAGUCGAG